AAAGAAGAGGACACGUCAUCGCUUCAACUCGCCUCCUCCCUCGGUCUCGUCUCUUCCCAUAAAUGCAGAGAGCGAGCUUUCCGCAGCCUGUCAAUGCCGCAUUAAUUUCUUAAGCUUGUUUGCUUUGCUUUGCUUCGCUUCUCGGAAAGGAAGCCUUCGCCAAAUCUUCUUACUGAUUCGAGGGUUUGGAGGAGGAGGCGAGACGAGAGAGAGAAAACGGAAGCAUGCGAGGGAGACCGCUUUAGGGAAUAGGAGGGUUAUGGGAUUUUGGCGAUGUCGGACGAGAAGCCGCCGGUAGAGAUCUGCAAGGGCGUGAAUGACCUCGACAAGGUGGUGCUUAGGGGCCUCCGCGGGAGCUCGGCAGAGGUGUAUUUAUAUGGGUGUCAUGUAACAUCUUGGAAAAAUAACCAUGAUGAGGAGUUGCUUUUUCUCAGCAGUAAGGCUAUAUUCAAGCCUCCAAAAGCUAUACGUGGGGGCAUCCCGAUAUGCUUUCCACAAUUUGGAAGCCAUGGAAAUCUUGAACAGCAUGGGUUUGUAAGGAAUAGGUUUUGGAGUAUUGAUAGUAGCCCUCCUCCUCCUACAGUUAGCUGCAAUAAAGCUUUCGUCGAUUUGAUCUUUAAACCAAGUGAAGAAGAUCUCAAGAUAUGGCCUUAUAGUUAUGAAUUUCGUCUAAGGAUUACCAUAGGACCUGGAGGAGAUCUAAUGCUGACAUCACGGAUAAAAAAUACUGAUGGAAGGCCAUUCUCCUUCACAUUUGCCUACCGCACUUACUUUUCCAUAUCUGAUAUUAGUAAAAUUUUCAGUGAAGUGCGAAUCGAAGGACUGGAGACUCUUGAUUACCUUGACAAUCUAAAAAGCAGGGAACGUUUCACAGAACAAUGUGAUGCUAUUACUUUUGAAUCUGAAGUGGAUAGGAUAUAUCUGGAGACACCAACUAAGAUUGCGAUUCUGGACCACGAAAAAAAGCAGACAUUUGUUUUGCGAAAAGAUGGGCUUCCUGAUGCAGUGGUAUGGAAUCCUUGGGAAAAAAAGGCCAAAUCCAUGAUGGAUUUUGGAGAUGAUGAAUACAAGCAUAUGCUGUGUGUGGAGGCUGCAGCUAUUGAAAAGGCCAUCACUCUAAAGCCUGGUGAGGAAUGGAAAGCAAGGAUGUAUCUAUCUGUUGUUCCAUCCUGUUAUCGUAGUGGGCAACUAGCUCCUUUGAGGGUUCUUCAAGGAUGAAAAUCAUGUCAGAAUCAAAAGUCUUAACAAUUUGACAACAUCCAUUUCCAGCAGCGGCGGCGCCCAAUCCGAACCUUGGUCCUUCAGAUCUCUCGAAGCACUCAAGUCAAUUCAGAACAGUAGGUUCUGCAGGUCAGUGUUUCACCUUUUACACAGAUAUCCUCCCACUAGGGAAGAACUGUGUUGCGUCCUGCUAGAAUGUGUGACAAAGGAAACAAUUAGUGCUGAAGUAUUUGUAGAAUCUCUAAGACAAGCAGUUCAGCAGCUGAUAUAUGGUAUUAUUAAAAUUAUUCUUAAGCUAUAAUAUUUCAGUUGGUAGAAGCAUCAUCCGGUUUUAUGGCGAAGUACAUGAUCUUUUUUGAAAGAGAGAAGCAAGGUUUAAAAUUUCGGUGCCAAAGGUCUGACUAGGAGAGAUAGGAGGAAGCGGAAGUGGAAGAGGAAGAGGAGGAAAGAGGUGACGACACAUAUCGAUAGGAGUAAAAAAAAGAAAAAAGACAAAGUUGAGCUCAGUUGCUAUGUUGUAGAUUAUUCCGUGAAAUUCUCUCUUAUGCAUAGAUUGGCAAAAACUGAUACGGAGAUACAGUUGGAGCUAGGAGGUUAGUAGAUUGACCUGUGAAUUUAUCAUUCUUGUGAUCAUUUUUCUCACUGGUCUGACCUUUUGCACUUUGUCAGCUGUAUCUUACUGAUCUAAAUCACAUCAUCAUGGUUUGUUCUGGUUAAUAAGAGCUUAUAUGAUGACUUUGCAUCUU